CAAAUAGCAGGCAGCAAAUUCAUGCCUCACGAUACAAUUGUUUGCAUUUUCCUUUAUCUCACUUUUUGUUUGUCACAACAAUGCCCUAAAUUCUCACCCACUUUGAUGGUUAAUAUUGAGGGUCGACUUGAUUGGAUUGAAGGAUGCAAAGUAUUGAUUCUGGGUGUGCCUGUGAGGGUGUUGCCAAAGGAGAUUAACAUUUGGUCAGUGAACUGGGAAAGGCAGACCCAGCCUCAAUCUGGGUGGGCACCAUCUAAUCAGCUGCCAGCACAGCCAGAACAAAAGCAGGCAGAAGAACGUGGAAGGACUAGACUGGCUUAGCCUCCCAGCUUACAUUUUUCUCCCAUGCCGGAUGCUUCCUGCGCUCGAACAUCAGACUCCAGGUUCUUCAGCUUUGGGACUCAGACUGGCUUCCUUACUCCUCAGCUUGCAGAUGGCCUAUUAUGGGACUUCACCUUGUGAUUGUCACUGGCUUCAAAUCUGCUGACUAUGAAAUAUGUCUGCUGCUUGAGAAACAUAUGCAAUGUUGUUUACUCCUAUGAUCUUGUGUAAUAUGCAUGAUUUCUCCCACUUUUUUAUCUUGUUUUUGGCGUGGUUUUAAUGGACAGUGUUGUUUUGCUUCAAGCCUCGCUGUCUAUGUCACAUAUGAACAAAAGACAUUACAGUUAUUUAAUUGUGGUUACAAAACAUGUAUCCCAUUCCUUAUACUAUGUACAUUUUCUAGCUCAUAUUUGUGUCUUCAAAAUAUAUCUGAUGGAGAAAUAAAU
rnacentral:lncRNA from 10 species